CGGGUGAGUAACACGUGAGUAACCUGCCCCAGGCUUUGGGAUAACCCCGGGAAACCGGGGCUAAUACCGGAUAUGACUGGCUGCCGCAUGGUGGUUGGUGGAAAGAUUUUUUGGCUUGGGAUGGGCUCGCGGCCUAUCAGCUUGUUGGUGGGGUGAUGGCCUACCAAGGCGGCGACGGGUAGCCGGCCUGAGAGGGCGACCGGCCACACUGGGACUGAGACACGGAUACAGACUCAUACGGGAGGCAGCAGUGGGGAAUCUUGCACAAUGGGCGGAAGCCUGAUGCAGCGACGCCGCGUGAGGGAUGACGGCCUUCGGGUUGUAAACCUCUUUCAGCAGGGACGAAGCGUUUGUGACGGUACCUGCAGAAGAAGCGCCGGCCAACUACGUGCCAGCAGCCGCGGUAAGACGUAGGGCGCAAGCGUUGUCCGGAUUUAUUGGGCGUAAAGAGCUCGUAGGCGGCUUGUCGCGUCGACUGUGAAAACCCGUGGCUCAACUGCGGGCUUGCAGUCGAUACGGGCAGGCUAGAGUUCGGUAGGGGAGACUGGAAUUCCUGGUGUAGCGGUGAAAUGCGCAGAUAUCAGGAGGAACACCGGUGGCGAAGGCGGGUCUCUGGGCCGAUACUGACGCUGAGGAGCGAAAGCGUGGGGAGCGAACAGGAUUAGAUACCCUGGUAGUCCACGCUGUAAACGUUGGGCGCUAGGUGUGGGGAGCCUCUCCGGGUCUCUGUGCCGCAGCUAACGCAUUAGCGCCCCGGCCUGGGGAGUACGGCCGCAAGGCUAAAACUCAAGGGAAUUGACGGGGGCCCGCA
rnacentral:rRNA from 1 species